rnacentral:rRNA from 1 species
GACGAACGCUGGCGGCGUGCCUAAUACAUGCAAGUCGAACGCAGUGGGGACGGGUGAGUAACACGUGGGUAACCUCCCAUCAGAGGGGAUAACACUUGGAAACAGGUGCUAAACCGAUACUGAUGGAUGGACCCGCGGUGCAUUAGCUAGUUGGUGAGGUAACGGCUCACCAAGGCCACGAUGCAUAGCGGACCGGAGAGGAGGACCGGCCACACUGGGAAUGAGACACGGCCCAGACUCCUACGAGAGGCAGCAGUAGGGAAUAUUGGGCAAUGGACGAAAGUCUGAUGGAGCCACGCCGCGUGAAUGAAGAAGGUUUUCGGAUUGUAAAGUUCUGUUGUUAGGGAAGCGGUAUCCGACCAAAAAGCCACGGCUAACUCCGUGCCAGCAGCCGCGGUAAUAC